ensembl:lncRNA
GACAAAACAGGAAAUUUCGAUUUUAAUUUUUUUUGACUGAUACUCCAAGCCAUCAGAUGCAAGCUUCCCCAUCUCUGCCACAAAGUCAGAGAGGUACUCGCUUGCAUCGGUUGGCUUGGAGUAUCCACAAUAUAAACCAAUUAGAAAUGGGGAUCUAAUGGGGUCCUCUUCAAUUAGUGCAAGAAUUGGCCAAAAUUGCUGGCUGCUGCUUUUAAAAAGGGGCAGGCCAUCCACAUUUAUUUGUAGUUUUAGUGUUUGGUUUUUAGCUAAGUCCUGUUCUUGCAUUCGGCCCAAGAUCCCUUUUGCCACACCAAAAUAGUGCAUGUUCCCCCCAGCUUUUGGUACUAUCUCCGCAUAAGUAGGGGUUGACAGGAGAGUGCGGCCGUCUUUUGGCAGUUUGGAAUCUGGGAAGUGCUUGCGAAGCACGGAGAGCAGGCUGGAAAUGUGGGAAAUUGGUGUAUUUGUUGUGAUUGCCCAUUCCUUGAGCUCAUGUCUUAAGUCCCUUUGAAAACUGCCCCCCUCCUCUGAAUCUGAGCCACUGCUAGAGCUCGACAAAUCAUUGAACUCCCAGUCAUCCUCGCCAGAGGAGGCGCUCUCCUCUGAUGCCAUUACCCAAUCCCCAUCUCCGCUUUCAAUUGCGUCGUCGUUGUCUAUUUCGGUGUAAGCUGGGACACUUGGUGGUGUAUCUAAUGUGUCUGCGCCAGCGGCCAGGUUAAAUUCCCAUCUCUCAGACUUACCUGAUCCUCCAUCCAAACUCUGAUGUUGGAAUCCAUGCUGUCCAGUCCAUGUGAAGAGCACAGGAAGGCUUGUUGCAGCACACUUAAUAGUAAGCUGUGUGUGUGUGUGUGUGUGUGUGUGUGUGUGUGUGUGUGUGUGUGUGUGUGUGUGUGUGUGUGUGUGUGUGUGUGUGUGUUUAAAGCCUAAGGGGAGAAAAGUGACCUGGGGGCAUAUCCCUUUAAGCGGUAAAACAAGUUAUCCUUCAAGCAAUCACCCUUGCGGAGGUACCUUCCCUUACACCCAAAGUCCUUUUCUGUACAUAGUUUCUCAUUUAUUUAUUUUGUCU